GAUGAACGCUGGCGGCGUGCUUAACACAUGCAAGUCGAACGGGAUCCCAGGAGCUUGCUCCUGGGUGAGAGUGGCGAACGGGUGAGUAAUGCGUGACCGACCUGCCCCAUACACCGGAAUAGCUCCUGGAAACGGGUGGUAAUGCCGGAUGCUCCGACAUGACGCAUGUCGUGUCGGGAAAGAUUCUAUCGGUAUGGGAUGGGGUCGCGUCCUAUCAGCUUGAUGGCGGGGUAACGGCCCACCAUGGCUUCGACGGGUAGCCGGCCUGAGAGGGCGACCGGCCACAUUGGGACUGAGAUACGGCCCAGACUCCUACGGGAGGCAGCAGUGGGGAAUAUUGCACAAUGGGCGCAAGCCUGAUGCAGCGACGCCGCGUGCGGGAUGACGGCCUUCGGGUUGUAAACCGCUUUUGACUGGGAGCAAGCCCUUCGGGGUGAGU
rnacentral:rRNA from 1 species